rnacentral:lncRNA from 1 species
UUAAUACAACAUAUGCAUUUAUAGAAAUUAGUAUCCAGAGGAAAAAUUUUGUGUGUGAGUAUAUACUUUUUAUGGUAAAGGUAUAAAUACAUAGAUAGGAAGGCUAUAGCCACCUUCAAGACAGUGUUUGUCUCUUAGGAUUAAAAGAAGAAAAUGAAAUUAUCAGGGAAAUUUCAGUUCCGUAAACUCCUUUUCCCUUUUUAAAAAUGGUAGUAUAUUUAUUGUUCAUUAUGAUGGAAAACUACAUUUAUAAAUUCAAAUGAAAAAACAUAUGUAAAGC